CAGCCGCCACGGGAAUACAGAGGGUGCGAGCGUUAAUCGGAUUUACUGGGCGUAAAGCGUGCGUAGGCGGCUUUUUAAGUCGGAUGUGAAAUCCCUGAGCUUAACUUAGGAAUUGCAUUCGAUACUGGGAAGCUAGAGUAUGGGAGAGGAUGGUAGAAUUCCAGGUGUAGCGGUGAAAUGCGUAGAGAUCUGGAGGAAUACCGAUGGCGAAGGCAGCCAUCUGGCCUAAUACUGACGCUGAGGUACGAAAGCAUGGGGAGCAAACAGGAUUAGAUACCCGCGUAGUCCCUGUCUCUUAUAC
rnacentral:rRNA from 1 species